rnacentral:tRNA from 1 species
GAGGGUAUAGCUCAAGUGGUCAAGCGCAUGCUUAGCAUGCAUGAUGAGGUCCUGGGUUCAAUCCCUAGUACCUCCU